GGGCACAUGGUGUAGUUGGUUUAUCACGUUCAAGAUCAUGUUCGCUUCGCACUUCGUGGUUUUGCGAAACGUGUCUGGUUCAAUUCCGACUGUGUCCA